rnacentral:SRP_RNA from 1 species
GCCAGGCAUGGUGGUACCUGCCAGUAGUCCCAGUUACUCAAAAGGCUGAGGUGGGAGGAUUGCUUGAGCCCAGGAGUUCUGGGCUACUGUGUGCUAUGAGAUCAGGUGCCCACACUAAAUUUGGGAUCAGUAUGGUGACCUCCCGGGAGUGGGAUACCACCACAUUGCCUAACUAGGGGUGAAUCAACCCAGGUCGGAAAUGGAGCAGGUUAAAACUCCCUAGCUGAUCAGUAGUGGGAUCAUACCUAUGAAGAUGCACUAUACUCCAGUCUGGACAACACGGCAAGACUCUGUGUCU